rnacentral:rRNA from 1 species
GCUCAGAUUGAACGCUGGCGGCAUGCCUUACACAUGCAAGUCGAACGGUAACGCGGGGCAACCUGGCGACGAGUGGCGAACGGGUGAGUAAUGCAUCGGAACGUGCCCAGUAGUGGGGGAUAGCCCGGCGAAAGCCGGAUUAAUACCGCAUACGACCUACGGGUGAAAGGGGGGGAUCGCAAGACCUCUCGCUAUUGGAGCGGCCGAUGUCAGAUUAGGUUGUUGGUGAGGUAAAGGCUCACCAAGCCGACGAUCUGUAGCUGGUCUGAGAGGACGACCAGCCACACUGGGACUGAGACACGGCCCAGACUCCUACGGGAGGCAGCAGUGGGGAAUUUUGGACAAUGGGCGCAAGCCUGAUCCAGCCAUGCCGCGUGCGGGAAGAAGGCCUUCGGGUUGUAAACCGCUUUUGUCGGGGAAGAAAUCUUCUGGGCUAAUAUCCCGGGAGGAUGACGGUACCCGGAGAAUAAGCACCGGCUAACUACGUGCCAGCAGCCGCGGUAAUACGUAGGGUGCAAGCGUUAAUCGGAAUUACUGGGCGUAAAGCGUGCGCAGGCGGUGAUGCAAGACAGAUGUGAAAUCCCCGGGCUUAACCUGGGAACUGCAUUUGUGACUGCAUCGCUGGAGUGCGGCAGAGGGGGAUGGAAUUCCGCGUGUAGCAGUGAAAUGCGUAGAUAUGCGGAGGAACACCGAUGGCGAAGGCAAUCCCCUGGGCCUGCACUGACGCUCAUGCACGAAAGCGUGGGGAGCAAACAGGAUUAGAUACCCUGGUAGUCCACGCCCUAAACGAUGUCAACUGGUUGUUGGACGGCUUGCUGUUCAGUAACGAAGCUAACGCGUGAAGUUGACCGCCUGGGGAGUACGGC